rnacentral:lncRNA from 1 species
GAAGUACAUCGACUUCAAGGAAGUGACGCAGCUGCAGUGCAACUCCAAAGCCUCCAACAGCUUCAUGUGAGGUCAAUUAAUGUAUUCAGUGUUAUAAUUAACAGCCCAGUUUAUCUUGUGACACAUGGAUAUCAGCUGUACUGUGGCCGUGUUGUUUGCUAGCUAACAGAGAGCUAAAAGGUGAUUUAGCACCCCCACAGCAGCUGUAUAUUUAGACUUGCUAACUGUUUUGUGGUGAAUUUUAUCUUUAAACAUAAUGUAGGAGCAAAAUAAUAGAUGAGGGAAUUAUCUUAACUCACUGUUGUGUCUAUUUUAUUUCAAAAUACAGAUAUGUAUCAGGAAGCUGGCUGUCUACAUCCUGUUACAACAGAAAGUACAUCAACUUCAAGGAAGUGACGCAGCUGCAGUGUGACUCAAAAACCAUCAAGUCUUCAUGUGAGGAGAAGCCCUGUCGGAUCCAGAACCAGCGCUGAGGCUCUUUUCGCAGGUGAGGCUCUCUCAUGGAGGCAGUGUGUGAGCAGCUCCAUGGAGGUGGUGGUGGUGGUGAUGAGGAGGAGGAGGAGGAGCAGGCAGGAGCAGAGGAAGCCAUGCUGUGGUCCAUCCAGGAGGCUCUGGAGAGGCAGACCCUGCAGAUAGGAGCGUCAGCCUGCGGGGCCACAGCUGUGGUGGACGUGCUGAAGGCCCUCGGCGUGGACGUGGCCCCUGAGGAAGCAGACCGCUGCGUCCGGACACACCUGAGGAGGAACGAGUCACCGCUGCCGGACUACCUGCUGUCCCGGAGUGAAGCUGUGAGCGACCGAGAGUUGCACCAGAGACUCUGCAGCGAAUCGGUGCUGCUGAUUCGUCGAGAAGACGUUCUUCAGCGACUGACGCCGGACUGCAGCCUGUCAAGCUUAUCCGAGCAGCGGUGGAAAGCCCUGGACGUCGAGGGUCAAGUGAGACAGAUGCACCAAGAAGAGGAAGAGGAAGACGAUGGAGCCAAGUUAACACACAUCAGGAUCCCUGCAGCGUACAGUUCAGGCGUCACUUUCUUCGCCCUACGAGAAUCAGAGUUAGGACAAGAACUCCUCAGUGCUCCUGAACUACCUUGUUUGUGA